UGUAAACAUCCCCGACUGGAAGCUGUCUGCACCACAGAGCUUUCAGUCUGAUGUUUGCG
rnacentral:pre_miRNA from 1 species